rnacentral:rRNA from 1 species
CACGUGCUACAAUGGACGGUACAAAGAGCUGCAAGACCGCGAGGUGGAGCUAAUCUCAUAAAACCGUUCUCAGUUCGGAUUGUAGGCUGCAACUCGCCUACAUGAAGCUGGAAUCGCUAGUAAUCGCGGAUCAGCAUGCCGCGGUGAAUACGUUCCCGGGCCUUGUACACACCGCCCGUCACACCACGAGAGUUUGUAACACCCGAAGUCGGUGGGGUAACCUUUUUGGAGCCAGCCGCCUAAGGUGGGACAGAUGAUUGGGGUGAAGUCGUAACAAGGUAGCCGUAUCGGAAGGUGCGGUUGGAUCACCUCC